AUGAAGGCAGCAGCAAGGGAAUUUGAGCCUUGGCCUGUAGAGAUACGAUUUUGCAAGGAAGCUAGGCAGUUGCUUCUUUAGGGACUUAUGACAUAACAUUAGAGAUGGGAAAGAAGGAAGCAUUGCGGUGUACCAUGUGAGAUGAUUAGAGGGUGCAAUACCAAGUGAAGAAAUACACCUUGAGAAGAGCUCUUGGGUUGUCAAUUGUGACUGGAAAUUCUACUCCUCACAUGGAUCAUAGAAAUAUACAAUACCAAGGUUGGUGAUAUUUCUUCUUCAUUGUGAACAAUCAGGUUUGAGUGGCACUUUGAAUGCAACAAAACUGAAAUAAGGAUCUUCAGUUGUUCUUUUUGGACUUGGUUCCAUUGGCAUUGCUGUUAUUGAUGAGAUGACCAAUGACAAAGUUGACAAGAGGAUAGCAAAUCCCAAAGUUGUGUACAUGCAAUCCUCUAAAUCAGGUUAAAUGUCUUAUUCAUGUGGUUAAGGCUGGUGCAUUCAAGUCCCACAGCAACGCGCGGGCAUUUUUGCU
rnacentral:sRNA from 1 species